UUAAAAACUAACCUGCCAUCU
rnacentral:siRNA from 1 species